rnacentral:rRNA from 1 species
CUUGACGACCAUAGAGCGUUGGAACCACCUGAUCCCAUCCCGAACUCAGCAGUGAAACGAUGCCUCGCCGAUGGUAGUGUGGGGUUUCCCCAUGUGAGAGUAGGUCAUCGUCAAGA